rnacentral:rRNA from 1 species
GUGAGGAAUAUUGGUCAAUGGGCGAGAGCCUGAACCAGCCAAGUCGCGUGAAGGAAGAAGGAUCUAUGGUUCGUAAACUUCUUUUGCAGGGGAAUAAAGUGCGGGACGUGUCCUGUUUUGUAUGUACCCUGAGAAUAAGGAUCGGCUAACUCCGUGCCAGCAGCCGCGGUAAUACGGAGGAUCCGAGCGUUAUCCGGAUUUAUUGGGUUUAAAGGGUGCGUAGGUGGUUUGAUAAGUCAGCGGUGAAAGUUUGCAGCUUAACUGUAAAAAUGCCGUUGAAACUGUCGGACUUGAGUGUAAAGGAGGUAGGCGGAAUGCGUGGUGUAGCGGUGAAAUGCAUAGAUAUCCCGCAGAACUCCGAUUGCGAAGGCAGCUUACUAAGCUACAACUGACACUGAAGCACGAAAGCGUGGGGAUCAAACAGGAUUAGAACCCCUAGUAGUCC